rnacentral:rRNA from 1 species
AAUGAACGCUGGCGGCAGGCCUAACACAUGCAAGUCGAACGGAUCCUUCGGGAUUAGUGGCGGACGGGUGAGUAACGCGUGGGAACAUACCCUUUGGUGCGGAAUAGCCUCGGGAAACUGGGAGUAAUACCGUAUGUGGUCGAGAGACGAAAGAUUUAUCGCCAAAGGAUUGGCCCGCGUUGGAUUAGGUAGUUGGUGGGGUAAUGGCCUACCAAGCCGACGAUCCAUAGCUGGUUUGAGAGGAUGAUCAGCCACACUGGGACUGAGACACGGCCCAGACUCCUACGGGAGGCAGCAGUGGGGAAUCUUAGACAAUGGGGGAAACCCUGAUCUAGCCAUGCCGCGUGAUCGAUGAAGGCCUUAGGGUUGUAAAGAUCUCUCAGGUGGGAAGAUAAUGACUGUACCACCAGAAGAAGCCCCGGCUAACUCCGUGCCAGCCGCCGCGGUAA